GCCCUUGGCGGUGCUGGGUUCCCAGCCAGAGCUAGCCCUUAGCGGUGCUGGGUUCCCAGCCAGAGCUAGCCCUUAGCGGUGCUGGGUUCCCAGCCAGAGCUAGCCCUUAGCGGUACUGGGUUCCCAGCCAGAACUAGCCCUUAGCGGUACUGGCACCCCUUCAAAUUAGUGGAUUCGGCUUUUUCAGCCACAUGUUGCUGACAGGUGUAUAAAAUCAAGCACACAGCCACGCAAUCUCCAUAGACAAACAUUGGCAAUAGAAUGGUCUUACUGAAGAGGCUCCCUAGCGGAUGCAGUAGUCUAAGGCACUGCAUCUCAGUGCUAGAGGUGUCACUACAGACCCUGGUUUGAUUCCAGGCUGUAUCAUAACCGUCCGUGAUUGAGAGUCCCAUAGGGUGGAGCACAAUUUGCCCAGCGUUGUCUGGGUUAGGGUUUGGCAGGGUAGGCCGCCAUUGUAAAUAAGAAUUUGUUCUUAUUAACUGACUUACCGAGUUAAAUAAAAUAAAUAAAAAAGAGCUUAGCGACUUUCAACCUUGGUACUGUCAUAGGAACCACCUUUCCAACACGUCUGCUUCCCCGGUCAGCUGUUAUUGUGAAGUGGAAACGUCUAAGAGCAACAGCGGCUCAGCCGCGAAGUGGUAGGCCACACAAGUUCACAGAACGGGACCCACAAAGCGCCUAGCGUGUAAAAAUUUGUGACAACAGUUUGGGGAAGGACCUUUCCUGUUUCAGCAUGACAAUGACCCUCGUGCACAAAGCGAGGUCCAUACAGAAAUGGUUUGUCGGUGUGGAAGAACUUGACUGGCCUGCACAGAGCCCUGGCCUCAACCCCAUCGAACACCUUUGGGAUAAAUUGGAACGCUGACUGCGAGCCAGGCCUAAUCACCCAACAUCAGUGCCCGACAUCACUAAUGCUCUUGUGGAUGAAUGGAAGCAAGUCCCCAAAGCAAUGUUCCAACAUCUAGUGGAAAGCCUUCCCAGAAGAGUGGAGGCUGUUAUAGCAGCAAAGGGGGGACCAACUCCAUAUUAAUGCCUAUGAUUUUGGAAUGAGAUGUUCGACGAGCAGGUGUCCACGUAAUUUUGGUCAUGUAGUCAUGUAAUGUCAGACCCUCCCUUUCUGAAUAGUUACCUGCCUACAUAUUGUAAAUCACAUUGUGUGUACAACAAGCCAAAAGCUUUCGGCAGUGGAAGUAUAGUCUUUACUCAGUGCUUUGACCAAGGUAUGGUCAAUUCAUAUUUCCAACUAGCCAUUUCUUACUACCAGGGACGGCAGGUAACCUAGUGGUUAGAGGCAGGGUAGCCUAGUGGUUAGAGCGUUGGGCCAGUAACCGAAAGGUUGCUAGAUCGAAUCGCUGAGCUAAACAGGGUAAAAAUCUGUCGUUCUGCCCCCUGAACAAGGAAGUUAACCCACCAUUUUUAGGCUGUCAUUGUAAAUAAGAAUUUGUUCAUAACUGACUUGCCUAGUUAAAUAAAAUAGAAAAAUGGUCAAUCAACAAACCAAGUAGAAUGGGUGUCUCUAGGCCUAAUGGUGCUGUCUCCUCAGGUAUCCUAGCAACUGAAUUAAACUGUGUUUUUUGUUAAUUCCAUUUUUGUGUUUAUGUUUGCUCCUGCGUGUGUUGAAAUAAUCCUGUUGGACAAUGGAACACCUCACCCCUCGCAAUUUACACCAAUGUUUCAAACUUGUUUCAAAGUCUAAAGAUACUGAUGUUGUCAUUUUGUUCUAUGUAAAUAAAGAUUAUGUUUUGAAUAAAUAUCGUCAUAUACAUAAUGAUUUCUGUAUAGGUUAAAGGGGCACUCUGAAUGUGCUUCAUCCACUAAUGAAAUGUACCCAUUUUGAUUCUUGAAAAAUAUAACUUUAUACAUUUCUCAGGUCAUCUAUCAUACCCCACCGGAACCUAAAAUAUACGCUUGUUUGACUCCAAUGUUUACAAGGAAAGUCAAUGUAAACAAACACUACGUAGCCUUAC
ensembl:lncRNA